AGUGUCAUAUUUUAUGCCAAAUAUAGACACGCACAACACUGCAGCUGUGAGUCGAUGAGUGGUCAGCCUUCCAUUGUUCUUUUGACAGGAAGUUCUGGGAAACAUCCACCAGACUCUGGAAGUCCAGAAAGACAGUUGCAGUUCUGGGACAUGAAGGGAGGCCUGGAAGGGAAGAGAAGAAAAGGUAAACCAUGAGUCUACAUCUCAUGCCAAGUCUAAUUACCUUUACCUCAGAGACAACGGCACAGAGAAACCCUUCCCUCUGCAAAGACAGGAUGCAGGGA